AGGAAAAGUUGAGACAUAACUACUGAUUUUUUUUUUCUUAAUGAAAAUAUUAUACACUGCACACAUCGUCCAACCAUGUGGAAUAUUUGUCGAAGUCAAGAGAAACAUUAUUAAGAGAAGCUUUAUGGGUAUCCUGCAAGUCAAGUCUAAGUGUGACGAAUGCCCCCACUGAAAUGAAUGAGAGAGAGAGAGAGAGAGAAAGAGAGAAAGGUAAGGAAGAAGCAGCAACGCAACAACCAAUGAUGGCGGAGGAGACGUGACGAUAGCGGGGUGGCAUGAGAGAGAAAGAGAACAUAAAUCAAGAAUUGGGGGCAAUGCUCCCUAUUUUGUUGUCUUAUUCGGCAGCAAUAUCUUGGUUCUGUUGCUUCUACUUUCAGUAUUUUGUUUUCUCUCUUUUUCUGACUUGGAAUAGUAAAGGUGAUAUUUGAUUUUGGAGUGGUGCUAGGUGCACCCAACAUUAUUGCUGGUGCACCCAGCAUUCUUGAAAAAUGUCAAAA